rnacentral:lncRNA from 10 species
GGGCUCGGCCUUUUGUCAGCAGGCCGCACACGCGCCGGACCGGGUACCGCUGUGCCCGGCCUGGCCGCGGCCUAGUCCCGGCAGACGGGACUGACGAGGUCACCAAGCCCAGGCCGAGACGGCGCGGGUGUCAGGGACUUGGGAAUCCCCCUCCCCCAGUCCCGAUCCCGCUUUCCUUUGGGGUUUCACCUCAGAGGACCCGACAGCACUCUUGCAGGUGGGAACCUACACAAUAGGAGUAAUGUGGCUCCACCUUCCUCUCGGGACUCGGGACCUGGGGGUGGAGACUUGGAAGUUGCAAAGCUCUCGGUGCCGGGAAUCGGGGCUACGGUUGAGUGGGAUCGGGCCAGGGCUGAGGUGGUCCCACCCGUGUAGGGGCGCGGAGAAACGCCUCGACUGCUUCACUGUACCACCACCCACCCGCCACGGGCCUGGAAGGAGCCGCUAAACAUUCCCGAGCCUCAGUUUCCUUAGCACAAACAGGCUGGUAGUUUCCUGGUGCUUGCCAGAUGCCUGAUGGAUGAGAAAGCCUCCUGCGGCCCCGAAAGGGAGUCCAGAGCAGAGGCGGGCCCGCGGUCCACUUUUACAGGUCUGGACGGACUCACGGGACCACGGUCUGGGUGGGGCAUGCGGAAGGGCCUAGGCCAAAUGGGGAGUAGUGGUGAGGGCCCAGGGUCAGACUGGGGGGUGGAGUGAGGUUGUCUGGGAGUCUUGGCUUUAUGAACCGGAAAACCAGGCUAAUAAUUGAAUCCAAUCCAAGGGA